rnacentral:rRNA from 1 species
UACGUAGGGGGCAAGCGUUGUCCGGAAUCAUUGGGCGUAAAGAGCGUGUAGGCGGCCCGAUAAGUCCGCCGUGAAAGUCCAGGGCUCAACCCUGGAAUGCCGGUGGAAACUGUCGGGCUGGAGUCCGGAAGAGGCGAGUGGAAUUCCUGGUGUAGCGGUGAAAUGCGCAGAUAUCAGGAGGAACACCGGUGGCGAAGGCGGGUCUCUGGGCCGUAACUGACGCUGGAGGAGCGAAAAGCAUGGGGAGCGAACAGG